rnacentral:lncRNA from 10 species
GUGAACAGUGCUGUCUCGUGAUAUGCAGCACCUCUCCAAUGAUCCCUUGGCAUAAGGAAAGCAAGCUUCCCUGUUGUGAGCAGCCCUAUGGAGAGGCCCAUGUGGCAAGGAGCUGGCAUCUCAAGCCAGCAGACAGCAAGAGCCUGAGGCCUGCCGACAGUCACGUGGGUAAGCAAGGAAGUGGACCCUUCCCCAGCUGAGCCUUCAGAUGACUGCAGCCUCAGCUGACAUCUUGGUUGCAGCUUCAGGAGAUACCCUGAGUUGGAAGACUUCAGUUAAGCCUUAACUGGAUUCAUGACUCACAGAAACUGUGAAAUAAUAAAUGUUGUUUUUAGCCGUUAAGGUGUGGGAUAGUUAUGCAACAAUAGAUAACUAAUACAUAUAGAAAGAAGGGGAGAUCAACAGAGAUACAUGAAAGAGAAAGAAAAUACUUCAAUGAAGACUUCCAACUUGCAGUAAAUUAUAAAACAGCACAUCACUAAACCUACAGAGCUGUGCUUCUGAAAACCACACUCAUCACCUGAGACAUUUCUUUAAACUCUUUAUAAGAUGUAAGGGACUUAGUACUCCUAAAAAUAUUUUUCUGCUUUCUAUCACUUUACUGAUAUUCUCUGUUUAGGGAGAAAUUGUUCUUACAUAUUAUUCUUUACUUAUUUAGACAAUUUCCUGGGUUCUUUGAACAUAUUUAAAACAAUUGAUUUGAAGGCUUGGUCUAGUAAGUCCAAAAUCUAGGCUUCUGCCGAGACAAUUUCUAUGACUACUUUUCUUCUCUGUGUGUAGGCCAUACUUUUUUGUUUCUUUGCACAUCUUGUAUUUUUUUGUUGUUGAAACUAGGCAUUUUAGAUAAUAUAAUGUGGCAACUCUGGAAAUCACAUUCUCCUCCAUCCCCCUGGAUUCACAUUGUUGUAUUGUGAUAUGGCUUAGCUAUGUCCCCACCCAAAUCUCACCUUGAAUUGUAAUAAUACCCUUGUGUCAAGGGUAGAGAUAAUUGAAUCACUGGGGGCCAUUUUCCCAAUACUGUUCUCAUGGUAGUGAAUAAGUCAAAUGAGAUCUGAUGGUUUUAUAAAUGGGAGUUCCCCUACACAAGCUCUCUUGCCUGCCACCAUGUAAGACGUGCCUUUGCUUCUCCUUUGCCUUCUGCCAUGACUGCGAGGCCUCUCCAGCCAUGUGGAACUGUGAGUCCAUUAAACCUCUUUCCUUUAUAAAUUAUCCAGUCUCGGGUAUGUCUUUAUUAGCAGAGUGAGAACAGACUAAUACAUAUUGUUUCUCCACUUUGUGACUUCUCUGAAUUAAUUCUGUCAAGUCUGUAUUCCUCAUCGUCAUUAAUUCCUUUAUUGUUCUGCCCACCCACCAAUAUUCAUUAGCAAGUCAUUAGGAGAACCUCUCAGCUCUAGCUCUAAAAUCUGUGCCCUUUCCUCCAGCUGCACUGCUACCACUCCAGCCCAAGACACCUGCUUCUCUCUUCUAGGAUUCUCCCCAAUGGACUUCUUGCUUCUGCCUUACCCUUCCAUCUUCUGUUCUCCCCACAGCAUCCAGGAUGGUCUUAGGUUAUAAAAAGACUGGUUUCUACUUGGUAUCCUCCACCAAGGCUAGUACUGUGCUUUGCACAUAGUAGAUGUUUAAUCAAUGUCUACUUACACACAGUAAAUACACUUCUGUUACUCUUCUGCCUAUUCCCCUCCAGUGGCUUCCCUUCCAGAGCCCCUGAGGGCCUGGCUGAUGCGGC